UACGAAGGGCGCAAGCGUUAAUCGGAAUUACUGGGCGUAAAGCGCGCGUAGGUGGUUCAGUAAGUUGGAUGUGAAAUCCCCGGGCUCAACCUGGGAACUGCAUCCAAAACUGCUGAGCUAGAGUACGGUAGAGGGUGGUGGAAUUUCCUGUGUAGCGGUGAAAUGCGUAGAUAUAGGAAGGAACACCAGUGGCGAAGGCGACCACCUGGACUGAUACUGACACUGAGGUGCGAAAGCGUGGGGAGCAAACAGG
rnacentral:rRNA from 1 species